UGACCACUGUUUCCUAUGCUC
rnacentral:piRNA from 1 species